UGACUCUAUUACAGUUUCUCAAAUUUACAUAAAGUGUUUUCUUAAUAAAAGUUGAUAGGAGAAAAAGAAAUAACUUCAGUGUCAGCACUUCUGUGCAAGUAUUUCUCUUUUGUGCUACUGAAAUACUGAAAAAACACCUCUACAGUAACAAAGGCAAUCCUGUUACAAAGUGUUGUCCUCCAUCAGCAUUUGAUACACCUGGAUAUUUCUUCUACAUUCACCUACCAUGAGGGAAGUAUUUUCAUUCCAUACAGAGACUACUGAGACCACUGGUUAUACUUCUUUCCAAAAUUUGUAUCAGUAAGUGAAAUGAAAUGAGACAUCUUAAAGAAUAAACUUUCCAGGCAGAUCAUAAGCUAGGUGAAACUAAUGUAUGUCGUUCUAAGACAUGUUCUGAAGCAUAUAUGUGAUAUUUUGGGGUUUCUAUUUGUUAUGGAGGUUGGACUUCAUGACUCUGAGUUUCCUUCCAACCCAAAUGUUUUUAUGGUUCUGUGAUUCAAAUUUUGUCUGAAAAGUUACAAAACAUUUCAGUAUGAAAGAUAUUGGAACACUAGAUAGGAACUAUAUUGAGUUUCAGCAAAACUUGAUUAUUCUGUUUAUUUUUUAUGAUCAGAUACAGAAACUUGUUCUACGGAGAAGACAUCCACAGUUAAAGAUAAGAAUGAGUCAGAGAUGUGGGCAUCACUUAGGGAAUUUUGAACAUUGUUGUGCAAUGAUUUUUAGAACAUUUGGAUUAAGAUGUACACAAAAAAGCUGAGGAAAAAUGGUUGUUUUUUUUUUUUUUUUUUACUGAAUUUUUAAGCUGUACUGAAAUCAAUCAUGGAAAAAAAUAAAACAGCAAAUAGUUCAGAAUCUACUACUUCACUUAAGAUAAACGAAAAGAAUUAAGAGAUCAGAGACGUAUAUCUGUGGGAAAAAAAGAGCAUCCAGCAAAUGAAUAUGCGGGAUGCUUCAAGGGAGGGAUGAUCUCAGCUAUUACAAGUAGGAGACUAGUUCCAAAUGAAAGAGAUUAUAAAAACUAUAAUUAGCUAAUGCUUCCUAAAAGCCUAACUAAACUGUUGGGUUUUUUCCAUUCCAAAGUGCAAUACCACAGUGUGAUCAAGUGUCACAUAGCAAGUGCAGACAGAAGAUCUGACAUUAUUUCAGGACAGACUUGUAAGCUCUGUGAAACAGAUACUUUUCUGUUAAUGAUGCUGUGAUUUCUGAAGAACUGUUUACUUACUAUAUUGGAAUGUAAUAAGAACAUCACCAUUAAUUGUCACCAAUUUGCACUAAUUUUAUUUACAUGUCUACGGUUAACUCUUCUUUAAUCUCUAAUCUGUGUUGUAAAUUAUUAAGAAAGCCGAUGGAUUGCUGGAGUGAAUAGAAUCCCUAGUCUCAUAAAAGCCAAUUUACUCUUCUCAGAAGUGGUCUCAUUACUUUUUUAUUUAAUAUACAAGGUAUUUAACAUAAUAACCUGAUGAAGGAUGACUGCGUCUGCUCUGCAUGGAUCACAUUCUGUCCCCAGAGAGUUUUCAAAGUACAGAAAUAUGCAACACUUCAAAUCCUGACAGAGAAUAAGCCAAGAUCCCUGUUCUUAUAAACUGCCAGCAAAUGCUGCUUGACCUUUGCUCUAAACUUGUAGGUAACAGAGGGAAGCAUCACAGAAGAAGCAGAAGGACUAGCAACGUGAAGGCAUUUCAGGAGUGUGUGGCAAAUGCUGUCUUACAGAAGACAGGCAAUUUGUACUGUCCACUGGAAUGACAGAAGAAAAAAUAAAGUGGUUUUCUGAGGCUUUUACUAAAUAUGGAAGCACAGGCUUCAUUAUCCCAAGUGCACCCCAUCACACCUGCCCAAACUGAUGAAUGCAAAUGAAACAAGACACUGGACUUUACAGUUGAAAAAGGAUUAUUUAUCUGACUCUGCAGAAAUGCUAACCAUGCAUUUCUGGACCACUGUUAAUCAAAGAAUCUACCUCAAGUAGCUGUCUGCCUCAAGUGAGGUUUUUCUGGAAAGAAGCUUGCAAAAAACAGGUUAUUGGAAUUUUGGCAAAUGCCUGAGAGACUUUUAUCCAGCCACAAAGAUGCACAGUUCCCAAGAAAACCUGCUUUUUAAUUAUUUUGAUAGUAAACAGUUUUAAAACUGUAACUUAAGGUUACUUCCACGUGUGAUAACAAGCUAUCAAAUGAAAUGUGCCUAAAGAGAAAAUGACAGUGAAAUUAUAUGCAGAAUUAAU
rnacentral:lncRNA from 1 species